CUGACCGUAAACGAUGCCAACUAGCGAUCCGACGGUGGCUCUUAGGCCCUGUUGGGGAGCUUCCCGGAAACGAAAGUCUUCCGGUUCCGGGGGAAGUAUGGUUGCAAAGCUGAAACUUAAAGGAAUUGACGGAAGGGCACCACCAGGAGUGGAGCCUGCGGCUUAAUUUGACUCAACACGGGAAAACUCACCCGGCCCGGACACCGUGAGGAUUGACAGAUUGAUAGCUUUUUCAUGAUUCGGUGGUUGGUGGUGCAUGGCCGUUCUUAGUUCGUGGAUCGAUUUGUCUGGUUUAUUCCGAUAACGAGCGAGACUCCAGCCUACUAACUAGUGCGGGCAUUGUCUCUGUGCUUGUCACUUCUUAGAGGGAUUGGCUGCGCCUAGCGGCACGAAACGGAGCAAUAACAGGUCUGUGAUGCCCUUAGAUGUCCGGGGCUGCACGCGCGCUACACUGGCAAAGGCAGCGUGCUUGUCCGCCUCCGAAAGGAGCCGGUAAACCCUUGAAAAUUUGCCGUGAUUGGGAUCGGAAAUUGCAAUUAUUUUCCGUGAACGAGGAAUCCUAGUAAGUGCGAGUCAUCAGCUCGCGUUG
rnacentral:rRNA from 1 species